rnacentral:rRNA from 1 species
AUUGAACGCUGGCGGCAGGCUUAACACAUGCAAGUCGAGCGGGGGAAGGUAGCUUGCUACCGGACCUAGCGGCGGACGGGUGAGUAAUGCUUAGGAAUCUGCCUAUUAGUGGGGGACGACAUCUCGAAAGGGAUGCUAAUACCGCAUACGUCCUACGGGAGAAAGCAGGGGAUCUUCGGACCUUGCGCUAAUAGAUGAGCCUAAGUCGGAUUAGCUAGUUGGUGGGGUAAAGGCCUACCAAGGCGACGAUCUGUAGCGGGUCUGAGAGGAUGAUCCGCCACACUGGGACUGAGACACGGCCCAGACUCCUACGGGAGGCAGCAGUGGGGAAUAUUGGACAAUGGGGGGAACCCUGAUCCAGCCAUGCCGCGUGUGUGAAGAAGGCCUUAUGGUUGUAAAGCACUUUAAGCGAGGAGGAGGCUCUUUUGGUUAAUACCCAAGAUGAGUGGACGUUACUCGCAGAAUAAGCACCGGCUAACUCUGUGCCAGCCGCCGCGGUAA